rnacentral:rRNA from 1 species
AUGUGGAGGAAAGUAGGGGAAAUGGCCGAUACUACUGGAAGAAUUCCUCUUUGGCUGAUAGGUACUGUAGCUGGUAUUGCUGUGAUUGGUUUGGUAGGUGUUUUCUUUUAUGGUUCAUAUUCUAGAUUGGGUUCAUCUCUAUAG